UACGUAGGGUGCGAGCGUUAAUCGGAAUUACUGGGCGUAAAGCGUGCGCAGGCGGUUCUCCAAGUCCGUUGUGAAAUCCCCGGGCUUAACCUGGGAAUGGCAUUUGUGACUGCACGGCUAGAGUGUGUCAGAGGGGGGUAGAAUUCCACGUGUAGCAGUGAAAUGCGUAGAUAUGUGGAGGAAUACCGAUGGCGAAGGCAGCCCCCUGGGAUAACACUGACGCUCAUGCACGAAAGCGUGGGGAGCAAACAGG
rnacentral:rRNA from 1 species